GAUGAAGAACGUAGCGAAAUGCGAUACGUAGUGUGAAUUGCAGAAUUCAGUGAAUCAUCGAAUCUUUGCACGCACAUUGCACCUCUCGGUAUUCCGGGAGGUAUGCCUGUUCGAGCGUCAUUUGUACCCUCAAGCUCUGCUUGGUGUUGGGUGUUUGUUCCGCCUCUGUGUGUGAACUCGCCUCAAAACAAUUGGCAGCCGGCGUACUUGUUUCGGAGCGCAGCACAUUUUGCGAUCCAGAUCAACGUACAGCGGCAUCCAAGAAGCCUUAUUUAACGCUCUUGACCUCGGAUCAGGUAGGGAUACCCGCUGAACUUAAGCAUAUCAAUAAGCGGAGGA
rnacentral:misc_RNA from 1 species